rnacentral:rRNA from 1 species
AGAGUUUGAUCCUGGCUCAGGAUGAACGCUAGCGACAGGCCUAACACAUGCAAGUCGAUGGGUAACAGGGAAGCUUGCUUCCGCUGACGACCGGCGCACGGGUGCGUAACGCGUAUGAAACCUACCUUAUACCGGGGGAUAGCCCGAAGAAAUUCGGAUUAAUACCGCAUAACAUACUGAAGUGGCAUCACUUUAUUAUUAAAACUCCGGUGGUAUAAGAUGGUCAUGCGUGACAUUAGCUAGUUGGUGAGGUAACGGCUCACCAAGGCGACGAUGUCUAGGGGUUCUGAGAGGAAGGUCCCCCACACUGGUACUGAGACACGGACCAGACUCCUACGGGAGGCAGCAGUGAGGAAUAUUGGUCAAUGGACGCAAGUCUGAACCAGCCGUGUCGCGUGCAGGAAGACUGCCCUAUGGGUUGUAAACUGCUUUUAUAUGGGAAGAAUGUGACCUACGUGUAGGUUUUUGCCGGUACCAUAUGAAUAAGCAUCGGCUAACUCCGUGCCAGCAGCCGCGGUAAUACGGAGGACGCAAGCGUUAUCCGGAUUCAUUGGGUUUAAAGGGUGCGUAGGCGGAAUAGUAAGUCAGAGGUGAAAGUUUGCGGCUCAACCGUAAAAUUGCCUUUGAUACUGUUAUUCUUGAGUACAUUUGAGGUAGGCGGAAUGUGGCGUGUAGCGGUGAAAUGCUUAGAUAUGCCACAGAACACCGAUUGCGAAGGCAGCUUACUAAACUGUAACUGACGCUGAUGCACGAAAGCGUGGGGAUCGAACAGGAUUAUACCCUGGUAGUCCACGCCGUAAACGAUGAUAACUAGCUGUUUGCGAUACACAGUAAGCGGCAAAGCGAAAGCAUUAAGUUAUCCACCUGGGGAGUACGUUGGCAACAAUGAAACUCAAAGGAAUUGACGGGGGCCCGCACAAGCGGAGGAACAUGUGGUUUAAUUCGAUGAUACGCGAGGAACCUUACCUGGACUUAAAUGUAGGCUGCAUAGAUCAGAGAUGGUCUUUUCUUCGGACUGCUUACAAGGUGCUGCAUGGUUGUCGUCAGCUCGUGCCGUGAGGUGUCGGGUUAAGUCCCAUAACGAGCGCAACCCACGUUGUUAGUUACCAGCACAUAAUGGUGGGCACUCUAACAAGACUGCCGGUGUAAACCGCGAGGAAGGUGUGGAUGACGUCAAAUCAGCACGGCCCUUACGUCCAGGGCUACACACGUGUUACAAUGGCCGGUACAGAGGGCCGCUACCUGGUGACAGGAUGCGAAUCUCAAAAACCGGUCUCAGUUCGGAUCGAAGUCUGCAACCCGACUUCGUGAAGCUGGAUUCGCCAGUAAUCGCGCAUCAGCCAUGGCGCGGUGAAUACGUUCCCGGGCCUUGUACACG